GAUGAACGCUGACAGAAUGCUUAACACAUGCAAGUCUUUGGCGAAGCUGUGCUUGCACAGCCUAGCCAAGGCGGACGGGUGAGUAACGCGUAAGGAACUUGCCCUGCAGUCAGGGAUAACAGACGGAAACGACUGAUAAGACCUGGUAAAGUCAGGCGGACUCAUGUCCAGCCUGAUGAAAAGAGAUGCUGCAGGAGAGCCUUGCGUCCUAUUAGCUUGUUGGUGGGGUAACGGCCCACCAAGGCGAUGAUAGGUAGCCGGCCUGAGAGGGUGGACGGCCACAAGGGGACUGAGAUACGGCCCUUACUCCUACGGGAGGCAGGAGUGGGGAAUAUUGGACAAUGGGGGCAACCCUGAUCCAGCAAUUCUGUGUGCACGAUGAAGGUUUUCGGAUUGUAAAGUGCUUUCAGCAGGGAAGAAAAAAAUGACGGUACCUGCAGAAGAAGCGACGGCUAAAUACGUG
rnacentral:rRNA from 1 species